AUCUAGUUAACGAGUCCCAAAUAGGACGAAAUGCGUGUCCAGGAU
rfam:Schistosoma mattheei strain Denwood, Zambia genome assembly, scaffold: SMTD_scaffold0019292